rnacentral:rRNA from 1 species
AUUGAACGCUGGCGGCAUGCUUUACACAUGCAAGUCGAACGGCAGCAUGGGUGCUUGCACCUGAUGGCGAGUGGCGAACGGGUGAGUAAUGUAUCGGAACAUAUCCGCAAGUGGGGGAUAACGUAGCGAAAGUUACGCUAAUACCGCAUCUCCCCUGAGGGGGAAAGGAGGGGAUCCGCAAGGACCUUUCGCUUACGGAUUGGCCGAUAUCAGAUUAGCUAGUUGGUGGGGUAAAGGCCUACCAAGGCGACGAUCUGUAGCGGGUCUGAGAGGCUGCUCAGCCACACUGGGACUGUGACACGGCCCAGACUCCUACUGUGGUCCGCAGUGGGGAAUUUUGGAAAAUGGGGGCAACGCUGAUCCAGCCAUGCCGCGUGAGCGAAGAAUGCCUUCGGGUUGUAACGCUCUUUCAGCUGGAAAAAAAUCGCAUCACCUAAUACGUGGUGUGGAUGAUGGUACCAGCAGAAGAAGCACCGGCUAACUACGUGCCAGCAGCCGCGGUAACAC